rnacentral:hammerhead_ribozyme from 1 species
ACCCAGCUGACGAGUCCCAAAUAGGACGAAACUCGCAUCCUCGAU